UUUAACGCCCUCUAAGGAGGCUGUUCAGAGACAUCGGCAUGUUGAUGGGAGCCGCACAAAGGUCAAUGAUUUGGAGGCUCCUUCCGACAAUUUGCCAGGAUUUUGGCAUUUUGUAAGCAUCCAUAGGACAGCUCUCUAGCAAGCUGACCUUGACAGCAAACAGGAUAAAUAAACCUUCAAUUUACUCCCCCCUCCCACUCAAGGCAAGACCAGUGGAUCCCUGUGGAACCUUCACCUGUCCGCAUCGUUCAACUGCCUGCAACUUUGAACAGCCGCAUAUCUGCAGCUUCCCAGGUUCAGUGACAAACACCAUCUAACAGAAGAGGUUUCUGAAAAGUCAAAGUCAAUAGUGUUUCCAUUGAAAAUUUAAUGCUGGUUCCAUCUUUGCCCAUCAUUCUUCCCACUGUUGCAUGUGUCCCAAGAGGCACUUCAAGCAAAAGUACUCGUCCAUAACAGGUAAUGACGGGGCAUUUAAUGAUACUGUCCAGAGUGAUCCAACCUAUGGAAAGUAAUGUGCACUCAUGUACCCGAUAAGCAGAGCUGAAUGUACGAGAGACACGCUAUCUAUCGUUCACAGGACUGUCACCAGAUACAAUGUGACAUAUACUCUGCCAUGGGAGGCAUCUGCCUCCCCCUUCUCCCUAAGCAGCAGAAGGAAGGGAGCAUCCUCUGAACGGAGCACCGAAGUGUUAAGGGAAUUCAGUAAAAGCGAUGUUCUGUAUACAGACGACAGUUAAUAAAUGUUGAGGCAUCUUCAAGCACAGACUGGAGGACCACUCACUUCUCAGACUCCAGCCCUCUGCCAUCUAGGCUCCUGACUGUUCCCUGCCUUGACGUGUCAGAAGUGCAGCUACAUAUAGUCAUUUUCCAUGGGAAAGCAAUGAACAGCCUUUCAAGCAGGUUUGUUCUCCAGACUGAUCCCAGCUCAGAAUGAGCUGAAAUGAAAUGAAAACCCAGCUCAGAGAAAGCCUCUAACCCCAACAAGAGCCUGCUUACCUAUGGAAGGCGGUACUUCAACAGGAGGGAUGGAGAAGGGAAAAGAGUGAGCUAUGUUUUUCACAUACCUAAAAUUCAUUUCCCCCCAAAUUCACUAGGCCAGGUGUCACAUCAAAUUUCAUCUGCCAUUGGACUGUGUGACCCAGCAUGAAGCGUCACAGCACAUCAGCCAAAGGAAACUUGACACCAUGUCAUCUUUUUGAAAACUGCUCUGGCUGGGAAUUCGUGAUUAUCACAAACGAGGCAGCUUUCUGACCUUGAUUUGGUAGUGGUUGGGGGUGGGGAAGUACGCUUGUUAGAAGGGAGGUGGCUAACCAGUUAAAGAGGAUAUUUUGUUGUCUGCUGCUGGUGAUUUCCACCUUGGGAACUAACAAAUGGGUAGGUAUUUGAAACUUAAAUAUGUUUAUGGCAAAAGUAUUGACCAUAAGCAACCAGCACCAAAUAGUUCUUCUACUGAUCUGCAGACAACUGUCAUCAUCACAGACAGAUGGAUAGAUGGAUGGAUAGAUAGAUAGACAGACAAUAGAAUCAAAAAUAGAGAUUUGAUAUAGGUAUAAAAGAAAAAUCUGUUUAUAUCUCUCUAUCUCUGUUUCUUCUC